rfam:Strongylocentrotus purpuratus Contig80458_fixed, whole genome shotgun sequence.
AAAACGGCUCUUUUAAGAGCCACUAUCUGUACAAGAAAGAACGUUG